rnacentral:rRNA from 1 species
UACGGAGGAUCCGAGCGUUAUCCGGAUUUAUUGGGUUUAAAGGGUGCGUAGGCGGUUUGAUAAGUUAGAGGUGGAAUGUCGGGGCUCAACCCCGAAACUGCCUCUAACACUGUUGGACUAGAGAAUAGUUGCGGUAGGCGGAAUGUAUGGUGUAGCGGUGAAAUGCUUAGAGAUCAUACAGAACACCGAUUGCGAAGGCAGCUUACCAAACUAUAUCUGACGUUGAGGCACGAAAGCGUGGGUAGCAAACAGG